rnacentral:rRNA from 1 species
AGUCGAGCGAAGCGAUCGGGAUGAAGUUUUCGGAUGGAUUCCUGAUUGACUGAGCGGCGGACGGGUGAGUAACGCGUGGGUAACCUGCCUCAUACAGGGGGAUAACAGUUAGAAAUGACUGCUAAUACCGCAUAAGCGCACAGUACCACAUGGUACGGUGUGAAAAACUCCGGUGGUAUGAGAUGGACCCGCGUCUGAUUAGCUAGUUGGUGGGGUAACGGCCCACCAAGGCGACGAUCAGUAGCCGACCUGAGAGGGUGACCGGCCACAUUGGGACUGAGACACGGCCCAAACUCCUACGGGAGGCAGCAGUGGGGAAUAUUGCACAAUGGGGGAAACCCUGAUGCAGCAACGCCGCGUGAGUGAAGAAGUAUUUCGGUAUGUAAAGCUCUAUCAGCAGGGAAGAAAAUGACGGUACCUGACUAAGAAGCCCCGGCUAACUACGUGCCAGCAGCCGCGGUAAUACGUAGGGGGCAAGCGUUAUCCGGAUUUACUGGGUGUAAAGGGAGCGUAGACGGCAGCGCAAGUCUGAAGUGAAAGCCCGGGGCUCAACCCCGGAAUGGCUUUGGAAACUGUGCGGCUAGAGUACCGGAGGGGUAAGCGGAAUUCCUAGUGUAGCGGUGAAAUGCGUAGAUAUUAGGAGGAACACCAGUGGCGAAGGCGGCUUACUGGACGGUAACUGACGUUGAGGCUCGAAAGCGUGGGGAGCAAACAGGAUUAGAUACCCUGGUAGUC